rnacentral:rRNA from 1 species
UACAGAGGUCUCAAGCGUUGUUCGGAUUCAUUGGGCGUAAAGGGUGCGUAGGCGGCGCGGUAAGUCGGAUGUGAAAUCUCGGAGCUUAACUCCGAAGCUGCAUUCGAUACUGCCGUGCUCGAGGACUGGAGAGGAGACUGGAAUUUACGGUGUAGCGGUGAAAUGCGUAGAUAUCGUAAGGAAGACCAGUGGCGAAGGCGGGUCUCUGGACGGAUACUGACGCUGAGGCGCGAAAGCGUGGGGAUCAAACAGG